AUGAUGGAAGAAUUCUUGUUGUUGGAUGUAGCAAGUGAUGAACACGUGCAAUUAUUAUUCAUAGUUGAGAAGUGGAAUAUGGUUGUGGGUUGGAUGUUGAGCAAAGAGGAGAUGAAGGUUGUGCUAGCUGAAAUGGAGCUUCGGUUGAUGAGUUGUGUGGUGAGCAGAAGACGAAGGGCGGAUGGACGGGGGAGAUUGUUAUGGAACGAAGGGCAGCUGGGUGAAGUUGUUGCAGAAAUAGUGAGUUAUGUGAGGAUACCGGAAAUGGGCGAAAGUGGCAGGUGGAUGAGGAAGAUAAUAGGUGGUUCAGUGAUGACUAGAAAGGGUGGUCGGUUGUGGAGGGAUCUGUGA